CUUCCUAAUAUAAAUAAUUCAAUUUUUCAAAGUCUGAUGUUUGUACUACUACUUCUACUAAGGGUUCGGCGCCGACUGACCGACGCAUAGGGCUGAGAAAAAAGAUCUCCACUGCUGGCGAUCCGGAGCCAGCGUCAUCACUUGCUGCCAGCCAAGGUUCUCGUCAACUGUGCGGAUUUCAGCGGCUAGACUUCGCCGCCACGAGCUUUUGGGCCUGCCUCUUCUUCCAUGCCCAUCUGGAUUCCAGUCAAGCGCCUCUCUGCAAAUCUCGUUUUCAUCUCUUCGCAGCGUGUGCCCAAUCCAUCUCCACUUACGUUCCCGAAUCUCGAUGUCCAGCGCUUUUUGAUGACACCGGCGAUGAAGCGCGGAUGAUGUUCCGCAGGCAGCGAUUCACAAAAACUUGCAGUUUUCGCGUCGUCACCGCAUAUGUGCACCAAGUUCCACACCCGUACAGCAAUACGGAUUUGACGUUUGAGUUGAAGAUUCGGAUCUUAGUUCGUAGAGAGGUCUGGCGUGAGCGCCAGAUGUUUCGGAGACUCGAAAACGCAAAUCGGGCUUUUCUGAUCCGGGUUUCGAUGUCCUUCUUGGUACCACCAUCAGGCGAAAUCUGGCUACCAAGAUAGUGGAAGCACUCCACUGUCUCAACCUGUUGUCCAGCUACCACGAAAUUGGAACAAUUUUCUGUGUUGAUUUCCAUCGACUUGGUCUUUCCGACAUUGAUUUUGAGACCUGCUGCCUUGGAGCUUUCGGUGAGGUCGUCGAGUUUGCUCUGCAUGUCUUGUUGUGUUUGGGCGAGCAAAACAAUAUCGUCUGCCAGGUCAAGGUCGUUCAGUUGCUCAAUUGCUGAAGGAAUCCACGGCAAUCCUCGGUUUGGUCUACAGUCAAUCGAUUCAGUCAAGAUCUCAUCCAUUACGAUGAGAAAAAGCAACGGUGACAAAAUACAUCCUUGUCUCACUCCAGCAGUUACCGGACAAGAUUGGUUCGGACAAGACACCGUCGUACAAGACCUUGCACGAAAAUGCCUCGUACUGUGCUUCGAUGAGAUGGACUAGUUUCUCUGGGACCCCUCGUCGUCUAAGAGCAGCCCAGAUGUUUUCGUGGUUCAGUCGGUCAAAUGCUUUUUCGAAAUCAACGAACACCAGCAGAAGAGAGUCCUGGAAUUUGUUGAUUUGUUCCAGUAUUAUUCCUAGCGUUGUGAUAUGGUCCACACAUGAUCGUCCGGAUCGGAAUCCAGCUUGUUGCCGUCGGAGUGUAGCGUCGAUUUUCUCCUGGAUCCUGUUCAGGAUCACUUUGCAGAGUACUUUGAGGGUUGUACAGAUCAACGUUAUGCCUCGCCAGUUACCGCACUCUGUCAGGUCUCCUUUCUUCGGGACUAACGAGCCUAUAAUAAACAAAAGAGACGAAAUGUCACGAUUGGAAUUUUCGAUUUUCUGUCAGUGUCAUUCCAAUCGAGCAAAAGACUUGUCAAACUGUAAAAUUUGGAAUUGCGAAAGCGGCUAAAGCGAUCAGUAUUAUCAUUCAAAUCUAUAAACAAAAGGUAAAUAACCAUAACACAGAUUUUGAAUGUUCGAUUUUGAUGGCAAGAUUUUCUAGGACUUAUUUCUUGGUGCUUAAUUGUAAAAGAUGUUGCCGGAUCAGCGGAGUCGAAAAGGGGAGGUUUACCUACGAAAUUCCCGGAGUCCAGACUAGAAUCCCCCGGAGUGCUUAGUGUGGUAGGAAUACAGAAGUUUGAAAUUGCUGAUUGGUAGAUAUAUCUGUCUAAUUUGUUGGCCAAAUCUAAGACGAAAAAGUAGUUGAUCCGAGUUUGAUGAAUCGGUUGGUGAAUCUUCGCCGCCAGAGCAGUCGUCUAUCCGCUAGUCUCAAUCUCAAUUCGAGCAAUCAAAUGAUAAGUACCACGGGGGGAUACGAAACGGUCAGCGAUGAAAGUAUCCCAUCAACCAAUUCUUUGCUUCGGAACAACCUGAAAGCCAGAAAGGACGGAAUUGAAUUUCAGCCCGCAAGAAAGAUGCCGAGAAAAUUCUAGACGAUUUGACGGAUCCCAUCGGUUCGGUUAAGAACAGUUCGAUCGAUGCUCUCGAGAUUGCGAAUGCGCCUUAGUUAAUGAAUGAUGAUUUUUUAGUGAAAUUUUAGUUAUUUUUAAUUCAAACAAUUAAAAAUUAAAAAAAAAUACUUACACUGCAGAGUCGACUACUAUCAGUGAUAUUAAAACUAGCCGGAAGCCCGCAGAAUGCGAGCCAUUCCUCUCGUUGUUUUGAUUCUGCCGGAAACCGGAAAAAAGAUAUAUUAUUGAAUCCGGGGCAGGUUUUGUUAGAAAAAUUUUUUGGCAAACACUUUAUGAUUGCACUUUUUGAUAGAUGACAAAGACAAAAAAAAGCUCAGUUAAAACAGCAGACUAGACCAAAACCACUUCCGAAAAGAUAAACGUAAUCAAAAUUGAAGUCAUGUGAAGUUUGCAGCAAAGCAGUGUUGCGCUCAAAUGACACCGGGGUUGCUAUAUGAUUUAUUUUCAAAAGGAUCAGAUUGCGACUCUUUUGUUUUUAAUACAGGCUCUUUAUUCGGGACCUUUACGAAGAUACCCUGCAUCUAGUCGGCCGGGAAUGUUGCAGUAUCCCAAAUGUCAGCGAAAAGACGGUGCAACAUGUUUGUGGUGCAUUCAGUAUCAAGAUAAUGAGUUAAAAAACUGGGAAUAUCUUAGUCAAAUAUCAAGUUAUUUACUGCAUAUUAUUAAUUGCUAGUUUGCAGAAAAUCUAUCCAAAACUAACACAAAAAAUAGAAAUAACACAUCUACGAUUCCAAAUGAAAGUCCUUCACCCAAACGAAAAAGGAACAAUGCUGAUCCACGAUCAAAAUAAGAUCUUAAAUCUACAACUGUUUGAAACUUUUAUAUAUUUUAUUCAAUGGAUAGUUUA